AACGAACGCUGGCGGCAUGCCUAACACAUGCAAGUCGAACGAGACCUUCGGGUCUAGUGGCGCACGGGUGCGUAACGCGUGGGAACCUGCCCUUAGGUUCGGAAUAACUCCCCGAAAGGGGUGCUAAUACCGGAUAAUGUCUUCGGACCAAAGAUUUAUCGCCUUUGGAUGGGCCCGCGUUGGAUUAGCUAGUUGGUAGGGUAAAAGCCUACCAAGGCGACGAUCCAUAGCUGGUCUGAGAGGAUGAUCAGCCACACUGGGACGGAGACACGGCCCAGACUCCUACGGGAGGCAGCAGUGGGGAAUAUUGGACAAUGGGCGAAAGCCUGAUCCAGCAAGGCCGCGUGAGUGAUGAAGGCCUUAGGGUUGUAAAGCUCUUUUACCCGGGAUGAUAAUGACAGUACCGGGAGAAUAAGCUCCGGCUAACUCCGUG
rnacentral:rRNA from 1 species